rnacentral:rRNA from 1 species
UACGUAGGGUGCGAGCGUUAAUCGGAAUUACUGGGCGUAAAGCGUGCGCAGGCGGUUCGUUGUGUCGGUGGUGAAAGCCCCGGGCUUAACCUGGGAAUGGCCGUCGAAACUGGCGAACUGGAGUGUGGCAGAGGGGGGUGGAAUUCCGCGUGUAGCGGUGAAAUGCGUAGAUAUCGGGAGGAACACCUGUGGCGAAAGCGGCUCACUGGACCACAACUGACGCUGAGGCGCGAAAGCUAGGGGAGCAAACAGGG